GUCAUAAGCUUGCGCUGAUUACGUCCCUGCCCUUUGUACACACCGCCCGUCGCUACUACCGAUUGAAUGGUUUAGCAAGGUCCUCGGAUUGGUGCCAUUGUAGUGGCUUCGGCCGCUCGACCGGUGCUGAGAAGACGACCAAACUUGAUCAUUUAGAGGAAGUAAAAGUCGUAACAAGGUUUCCGUAGGUGAACCUGCGGAAGGAUCAUUACCCGAUAUCCUAUUUUGCUAUUUGGAGAUUCACGGUGACCGUCAUGUCACCCAAUACAUUUUGCGAAUGACUAUGCCUGGCCCUUGUAGGUCACAGCAUAGCCGAAUAAUGCCAGGGUGCCUACCCGUAUGAUCCUCUGAUGGUAUGCAUUCGGUCUUCGGAUCGUAUGUCCAAGCCAGGAGAACGGGUUGUACUGCCGUGUCAGGUAGUGCUAGGCUUAAAGAGGAGAAUUGGGCUACGGCCCUGCUCCCGCCCUGUGAUCUGUUCCAUUACUACUAUUACACUGUUAAAGUGGAUGCGUGUGGCUUGCCACUCGUAGCCAUUGACCUCACAUGCACCUGGUCCUUGUGGCUGGACUGCACGUACGUCGCCCGGCGGUGCCUAUCCCGGGUAGGACUGUAAACUGGUCUUCGAUUGUCUACGGAUGGUCGGGACCUUAUGUACAACUCUGAACGGUGGAUCACUCGGCUCGUGUGUCGAUGAAGAGCGCAGCCAACUGUGUGAAUUAAUGCAAACUGCAUACUGCUUUGAACAUCGACAUCUUGAACGCAUAUUGCGGCCAUGGGUUGUCCUGUGGCCACGCCUGUCCGAGGGUCGGCUUAUAAACUAUCACGACGCCCAAAUAGUCGUGGCUUGGGUUUUGCCAGCUGGCGUGAUUUCCUCUGUGAGCAAUCAUGUGAGGUGCCAGAUCUAUGGCGUUUCCCUAAUGUAUCCGGAUGCAUCCUUGUCUGGCUGAGGGCCAUGGUGAGGUGCAGUAACGGAAUCGUGGUUUAAUGUGGCUAUGCCCCGUUUUCAGUGUGUUCGGCCAUUUAGUCGGCAUGCUUAUGACUACGGGUGGAGCUAUGAUUGGGUUGGUACUCGGUAUCAGUGAGUUUGGCGAUUCUAGUCGGCUCACAUAUGAUUUCCGAGGUGAUUCCACACCAUGCACGUUCCGUUGCUGUUGCUUCAUUUUUGGUUUGAUGCUGGCUUGGGCCAUGUAUCUGAUGAAUACUCAUAAACAGACUGCCUUGUGCGGACUGCUUCCUGACCUCGGUUCAGACGUGAUUACCCGCUGAACUUAAGCAUAUCACUAAGCGGAGGAAAAGAAACUA
rnacentral:rRNA from 1 species